rnacentral:rRNA from 1 species
AUGAGUUCCUGCCUUUCUCAUAUUAUUAGAGAUCAUUCCCUUGACUUUGUUUGUGUGCAAGAGACCCAUAAGAAGAAGUUUCAGGACGGUUAUUUUAGGAAAAUUGACCCCUGCACUGCUUUUGAUUGGGAGUGGAUCCCAUCUACGGGGAAAUCCGGGGGGAUACUUUGUGGAGUUAGAAGAGAAAAAUUUGAAGUGGUUGCUUGGAGGAAAGGCAAAUUUAUCCUCCAAGUUAAUGUUUAUGAUACCAAAAUUAAGAAAAUAUGGACAUUAUGCAAUGUAUAUGGAGCAGCCCAUGAUAAGGACAGGUAGGAAUUCCUUGUUGAAUUAGCUGACUUCUGCGCUCAUGUUCAAAGCCCUUUGUUAAUUGGGGGUGACUUUAAUAUUCUCAGGCAUGAGGGAAAAAAAAAUAAAAACUGGCAUUGCUCCCCUUACACAGAUAUGUUCAACUCUGUGAUUAAUGCAAUGUGCCUGAGUGAAAUCCAUAUGAAUGGGGGUAUGUAUACUUGGACUAACAACCAAGCCCAUCCAACCCUGGAAAAGCUAGAUAGAAUCCUUAUGAGCAGUGAUUGGGAAGACCUUUUUCCCCAAGUCAAUGUUAGGAAAAUAGUUAGAGACAUCUCUGACCAUAAUGCUCUUUUGUUGUCCUCUGAUAAUUCUGUUGUUAGAGUCCCACAACAAAGAGAGUUUAGGUUUGAAAUCAGUUGGCUCAAAUCUGAAGAAUUCCUACCUUUGGUGGAAAAGAUUUGGAGCCAA